rnacentral:lncRNA from 1 species
ACUAUAAUCCUGCUUGAAGUUUGCUUAGAUUCCUGGGAAGUCUCCCUAUUCCAACCCUUUUUGAGAAAGGCCCACAGCUCAUAACCUACCUGAGGUUAUUUGGGUCUCAGGAAACACACAGCAUGUGCCAAUGUUCCAAGAAUGAAGCUCUGGUUCCCAGCUUCUGCUGCUCCAACUUCUAUAGCAGCAAGGAGAAAAGAGUAACAGACAUACUGAUCACAUCUAAUUAGAAGGUUUUCCUUAGCAACCUGUGUUGUGAGUGUUCUUGAGCUGUAUCUACAUAAGUCAUGGCCUUUCUCAUCAUCUGGCACUGUGGACUCAGGGAUACAGCAGACACAGCUAUCUUUUCUGGACUCAAGGUAAACCUGAAAAGAAGUAAAACAGAAAAGCAAUAUUAUGCGUGGAGACUUAAGAUUCCACCCAAGAAGGACUUUAUGAGAUACUGACCUGAUCAAUGUAGAUAGGAUGAUAGUAAGGUAACAUUCAUUUUAGGACU